rnacentral:rRNA from 1 species
CAGCACGGUAAUACGAAGGGUGCAAGCGUUAAUCGGAAUUACUGGGCGUAAAGCGUGCGUAGGCGGUUUGUUAAGUCUGCUGUGAAAUCCCCGGGCUCAACCUGGGAAUGGCAGUGGAUACUGGCAAGCUAGAGUGUGUCAGAGGAUGGUGGAAUUCCCGGUGUAGCGGUGAAAUGCGUAGAGAUCGGGAGGAACAUCAGUGGCGAAGGCGGCCAUCUGGGACAACACUGACGCUGAGGCACGAAAGCGUGGGGAGCAAACAGGAUUAGAUACCCCGGUAGUCCCUGUCUCUUAUACACAU